rfam:Candidatus Staskawiczbacteria bacterium RIFOXYA12_FTLL_37_10 rifixya3_full_scaffold_600, whole genome shotgun sequence.
CGGGGUGUCGUAUAGUGGUAGUAUAAACGCUUUGGGAGCGUUUGGUCUGAGUUCGAUUCUCAGCACCCCGA